ACUGUCCCUUCAUUGGGUCUGCUUUUCAUGUAUUUGGCAGUUCUUCUUUGCAGUUUGUGACUUGAACUGUAAAAAUAUUAUUUCUUCUUUUUGAUUGGUUUCAGGAAAAAAAUGAGGUAAAGAUACUUUUACUCAUCUUUUUUCCACACAAAACUCAUGAACAAUUUUAACUGAUGCAACUACAUUUUCUCCAUGCCUAAUUAAAGAGGUGGAAGUUGAGCUCUAAAUAUCUUAUGUGGAUACCAGAACAGAGACUGAAGAUGAAAGCAAGAGUUAAAAAUAUUGAGGGGAAGAGUGUUGGAAAUAGACUAUGCCAUGAGGAGCUCAAGGCAAGUUUUCCUCAAUUACUGAGAGCAGAAAUCUCUAAGUAGAAGAGGAAAGCAAAUCUUGAAAUCUAUUUUCAAAAAAACUAGAAGACAUGUCUGUACUAUUUGUAAGAGCUGGAGAAAGCAAAGAGAAAAAGCCCAAGCAUGUAGAGAAGGGCAAAAGGGGAGGAAGAGGGAGUUAUGUGACUCAGACUCAGAACGGAACAUGGAGCACGAUGCAAGGCUCAACCCUAGGACCCUGAGAAUAUGACCUGAGUAGAAUCCAAGAAUCACAUACUUAAAUGACUGAGCCACCUGGGUGCCCCUAUAAUCAACAUUUGUACUUUUAAUUCUCUGGUUAUUUUCUGGUAGUACUCUACAGGCUUCCAGUUAUGGAAUGAAGAAGUCACAAGAAUAGUAGGCACAGCAUUAGGAAUACAGUCAAUGAUACUGUAAUAGUGAUACAACGGAACAAAUGAUAGCUACACUUGCAGUGAACAUGGUGUAAUGUAUAAGCUUGUCAAAUCUCUAAAUUGUACAUCUAAAACACAAUGUAACAUGUGUCAACUAUACUCAAAAAUAAUAAAAUGGGAAUUAUAAAAUAUAUAUAUAAAUUACUUGUUGUCUAAUGCAUGUAAGUAUUCA